AAUACCUAGCGGCGGACGGGUGGAGUAACGCGUGGGAACAUACCCUUUGGUACGGAAUAGCCUCGGGAAACUGGGAGUAAUACCGUAUGUGUCCUUUUUCUGUAGUGGGGAGGGGAGAAAGAUUUAUCGCCAAAGGAUUGGCCCGCGUUGGAUUAGGUAGUUGGUGGGGUAAUGGCCUACCAAGCCGACGAUCCAUAGCUGGUUUGAGAGGAUGAUCAGCCACACUGGGACUGAGACACGGCCCAG
rnacentral:rRNA from 1 species